rnacentral:misc_RNA from 1 species
UCUCCAUGUCAGUCAAGUCGCUCAA